AAAGAGCCACAGUGCUGGACACUAGGGGAGGAGUGAUGUCCCAGUGUGAGAUGGGAAUGAAGCAUGGAAGUAGGAAAACAGAAUGGGCCACUCUAAACAGUGUCGACGCCAGGGCGCUUUCCACACCGGCAAAGAGCUGGGGAAGGGAGGUGGCAAUGGGAAGGGCCCCAGACUACACGCCUGGGAGGGGUGGACACCAAGGCUGGCCUGCUCUUCCUGAUCACUGCGCUGCAGCCUCCAGUGUCUUUCCUGAGGCGAAGAGAGUGGAGUGAGACAUUUGGGGUCUGUUCUUGGGACCGUGGGUGAGUUUGCUUCAAAAGUGCAUUAGCUGUUCCCGCAUAGGAGGGUUCUGAAGAAGGCCUCAUGGUGUCUCCCUGCCUGGAGCGCCAGAACUCAGCCCGGUUCCCAGCUAAGAAGUAGGAGCUCCAUGCACCUCCUUUCCUGCCUGGGCCUCUGUGGGGGAUUCUUCUGAGCCCCCUCGUCGCUGGCCUGGAUUUGCCUUGGAUUCUCCGGGGGCGGGUCUGCCUCCUCCCUGCCUGUGUCUUUUUCCUCGGACACCUCAGCCUCAAGGAAGGGCUGUGCCUCACCAGUCUCCUGCCAUUACCCCGUUCCUCUCUGCUCUCAUAUUCCACACAAGCCAAUCCCACAUCUGGGAUGCCAGGCGGGGAUGUGAGUAGAUGGCAGGUACAGCGGGCAGCGGGCCAGCACAUCUGGGUUCCAACAUGAAAACAACUCCCUUUUAACAUAAACUUUUUUUAAAGGCCCCAAACACAUCUGCAGUCCAGUUAAGGGUUGCUGGCCACAAGUAUGCAGCUUGCCUUACCCCUUCCCUCGAGGGUGGGGCUUAGGGGAAGGCACCUCUGAGCUGUCUUUGGGUUGAAAUUGAAAUUAAAGGAGGGAGGAAAUGGGGGAAUAAAAAGUGCAAAGGCCCUGGGGCCACCUGAGCGCCCCUUGGAGAAUUGUGGCCAGGCCCUAGCCAAGGAGCCCUGAGCCCAGGUGAGGUCUCAGACUUCAGGGUGGCAAGGAGACCUGGGGGCUACCCCUGCAGACCACACAUGCCUGGAAAAGCUUUUGGAGUUUAUUUCUGGGGCAAAGUGAAGCCAGUGAAGGGCCCGGGUAGAGGAACAAACCCCUGACUGUGUUUUAAAGGCUCACAGCCAAAGACCACAGGGACAGACCAGCCUGGUGGUCCAGGCAGGGCCGAGGUGGCUUGGGCUGGAACAGCUGCGUGGGGGAAAGGAUGGCACAGAGGGUACUUGGAGGUGGGGGAUGAGGAGAACCAAGGGACAGAGGAUGACUCCGUGUUCGGGCCUGAAACAUUGGGUAGACUGACAGUGAGGCCAUUUGCUUGGCAAAACAAGGGGGCAGUGGGGUACGGACAGGAGGGCGUUGGCUGCUUUCAGCUGAGUGUCUUGUCAUGUCCCAUGCAGGUGCAGGAAGCACAGGGGAGGGGCCAGGGCCAAGCAAGGGCUGGUGAGUGAGCCUCAGCUGCAGGGCUGGACAGAGUCAUCUGGGGGAGAGGUGGGGCAGGAGGAUGCCUGGAAGCCAAGAGGAGACACUGUUCCAGAGGUGAAUGCUCCAUCACCACUGAGGCCAGCAGAGAAGUGAGCAUGGGGGUCCUGGCCUGCUGGCUUGGACUUCCUAACUGUGGGGUACUGCCCACAGGGCCAGAGGGAAACACUUAGGGGCCCUAACCACACACAAGACCUUACAAUUCUCUCCCACAUGUAACUCAAAUAUGUAUAUCUGUAUUUUGCAACAAGACAAAUUUUAAACUAUGGUUUAAAAAAAAUCCCCCUGAAUUUGCUGAUUGCAAACUUCUUGGCAAAUCUGUCCAGGCUGAACUUUUCUCCAUCUUCCUCUGCUGCUGCUGUUUUGCCUGCUUUUCAAGUGCUUAGGACACUUACUUGGCCAUUAGUCAGAUUAGACUGGCUGCUUCUAAAUUAGUCCCUUGGCCAGGAUCACCUCUCUCUAUAAUAGAGAAAUUGUUUCAGGUGCCUUCGAUGGCAUCCUCAGCCCAGAGCAUUAAGUCCUGGUGGCAUCACAGGCCUUGGCCACCCACCUAGGUCACAGCUCCCUUGACUGAUCCUUCUCCACCCCCUAGGCACCUGGACUCAGGCCCCCAGAGGGCCACUCACCAUCACCUGGCUAUAGUGACCUGAGCAGUGCAUCCUGCAGCAGCCCAGCCCUCAGGUGUUCAUCCUCCAGCAGCGCAGCCCUGCCCACCCUCGGGAGGAGGAGGGGCCCGGCGCUGACACCUGCGGCCUUCUCAGUGCCACAGCCGGGCUCUGCAUCCCUGCAAUGCUCCACAGCUGCAAGGCUGCUCACUCACUUUGCACAGUGGCUCCCAAACCCCAUUUGCAAUUUUCCCUCCGAGACCCUCACAGCAGCUGGGGCCUCCUCUUCAGGCCAUGUGUCCCUUCUUCAAGAGUCAAAAUGAGAACAAGUCCGUCUCUUCCUUUUCUUCCUCCAAGCUUGGGGAGGCAGCAGCUUCCUCUCUGGCCCCCAGUUAAGGACCUUCUACCUACGGAUUCCCUACAUCAAGUCCCUCAUGGGAAUUAUCUGUUCUGGUAGCUUCCGUGGCUUCUUUCUCUUCCCAGACCCUGACAGAUGACCACGCGUGGCUUGCUGAAGCCAUAGCUGUAUGAGGACACUGGCAGAAACGGCUGCUGUUCUUCUUGCUUCCCAAAGGGCAGAGAUACCUCGAGUCACAGAAGGAUGAGGAAGCGUCUUCUCACACCCCUGACUUCAUCUGCUGGGAGCUGGUGGCUGAGGGCGGCUGGUUUGCUCUAAC
rnacentral:lncRNA from 1 species